rnacentral:rRNA from 1 species
AUUGAACGCUGGCGGCAGGCCUAACACAUGCAAGUCGAACGGUAACAGGAAGACGCUUGCUUCUUUGCUGACGAGUGGCGGACGGGUGAGUAAUGUCUGGGAAACUGCCCGAUGGAGGGGGAUAACUACUGGAAACGGUAGCUAAUACCGCAUAACGUCGCAAGACCAAAAAGGGGGACCUUCGGGCCUCUUGCCAUCGGAUGUGCCCAGAUGGGAUUAGCUAGUAGGUGGGGUAACGGCUCACCUAGGCGACGAUCCCUAGCUGGUCUGAGAGGAUGACCAGCCACACUGGAACUGAGACACGGUCCAGACUCCUACGGGAGGCAGCAGUGGGGAAUAUUGCACAAUGGGCGCAAGCCUGAUGCAGCCAUGCCGCGUGUAUGAAGAAGGCCUUCGGGUUGUAAAGUACUUUCAGCGGGGAGGAAGGGAGUAAAGUUAAUACCUUUGCUCAUUGACGUUACCCGCAGAAGAAGCACCGGCUAACUCCGUG